rnacentral:lncRNA from 1 species
GCACCAUGUAACAAAAAUAUGCCAUAGUGGAAGACAUAUUUAAAUAAAUAUUAAAUAAUACUCUUUACCAAUUGCUUGAUCACUGAAGGAAUUCUGUGUACUUGUAUAAAUUAAGACAAAUGAAUAGCAUAGCUGAAGAAAUGCUUAUCAGAAAUUAGAUAGUUAAGAGAAUUUCACAGCAAUGUAAAAGAACCUCAGGAGGAGUUUUAUGCUUUAUGAAAAACUUGCAGAGUUUAUAACUUAUAUCUUUUGCCCUUAUCUCUUCUUUUUCCCUACCUCUUGUCCCAGUUUUCAGGAGGAUUCAUUAAGCAAAUUGCAUUUGCAAUGAGGUUACAUUGAGUAUUUCUGUUCUCUGUCAACAAACCACAUAUCUUUUCAUGUAAAUCCAGGUAGACUUCAGAGUAGUCUUAAAAUAAUGCUAAUCUUCCUAUUGAGCUAUUUGAAGGAAAAGCAAAUGAUGAGGCUAAAGAGUAGAUAGAUUAUUUGUGUCUUCCUUCAGAUCAGGCUCCAGUAUGUGACUCUGGCCUCAAGGUUUUCCUAUCUGCUCCAGAAUGAAUCCAGGCCUGAAUUUUCAACACUCAAUUUGACCAAGGGUUUGGCUUAUAUCCUUUUUCUUCAUUAAUAGGGAAUUAUUUUCUGAUACUGGAUCUAAAUUCAAAAGUACUAUCUCUAAGUGCAAGUGUCUUUGAAACUAAAAAAAAAAAAAAAUUAUGGGAGCGGAAAAGGAAAAAUGGCACCCUAUGACUGUGAACUUGAUGGAUUUGUCUAGAGAGGAAAGGGGGUGGCAACUCUGGGAAAGUCAACAAAUCCCGUGGGGGAUCCAAACUUUGAUUACUUGGCCCACUGUUCCCAUUUAUUACAUAAAAUAAAAGCAAUGACAACAGUUUCCAUAUAGCAAGUGCCUGCUAUGUGCUAGGCUUUGUGCCAAGAUCUUUAAAACCAAAUUUUAAUCAAACCAUGCAAACCUGUGGGGCUUCUCUCCAAGGCAGUGAGCAGAAAAUUUGAACCCAGAUCUGCCUCUCCUGCUAUAGGUCUUGCUGCCAUGGAACCUCUUUUGAUUUUUUUUGUGGUCAGUGUUCAGGCAUGAUUCCAAAAAUGCAUUUAUAAUGUCACUUUUGCCUUUAAAAAACAUCAUGCCUCAGAGUUCUCAUUAUGACUCGGCAGAUUAAGAACCCAACUAGUAUCUGUGAGGAUGCAGAUUCGACCCCUGGCCUUGCUCAGUGGGUUAAGGAUUCAGCAUUGCUACAAGCUGCGGCCUAGUUCACAGAUGUGGCUCAGAUCCCGAAUUGCUGUGACUGUGGUGUAGGCUAGUAGCUGCAGCUCAGAUUUGACCCCUAGCCUGGGGAUUUCCACAUGCUGCAGGUGUGGCCCUAAAAAGAAAAAAAGAAAGAAAAAAAAAAAAAGAAAUUUAAAAAAAGAAAAAAGAAAAAAAAAAACAAAAACAAAAAACCUACAUUCAUAUCUGUAGCAAAGCAUUCCAAAGAAUCCUUUUACAAAAUAUUAACAAAUUCUCUGCCUUCCUGCCUUGAUCCCCCUCUUCAAACAAAGGGGGCCCGUGGCCUUUUGUGUUAGAAAUGAUUGGUUACUCAGUUUCAUCGUUGUAGGACUUCUCUAAGCCUGGAGUGUGUUGGUGCUAAUUGUGAAUUUCCAUGAAGAGAAGUCAGCAUGUAAGGUUCCCCAAACUGAGUACCUUAAGGAACCUGUUUUCUUCCUGAGAACCUCAUGGCCUGGUCACCAGGACAACAUCCUCCUGAAAAUGCUGGGCCUCUUAAUGCAUGGAGUUUUCAUCUGGAUUUUCAGGUCCUGUGUAAUCAUAUUUCCCCAUGAAUAUUUAGCAUGAAUAGUUUCUCUUCUAAUAGGUAGUGGGUA